CCUACGGGUGGCAGCAGUGAGGAAUAUUGGUCAAUGGACGAGAGUCUGAACCAGCCAAGUAGCGUGAAGGAUGACUGCCCUAUGGGUUGUAAACUUCUUUUAUAAAGGAAUAAAACGAGGCACGUGUACCUUUUUGCAUGUACUUUAUGAAUAAAGAUCGGCUAACUCCGUGCCAGCAGCCGCGGUAAUACGUAGGGGGCUAGCGUUAUCCGGAAUUACUGGGCGUAAAGGGUGCGUAGGUGGUUUCUUAAGUCAGAGGUGAAAGGCUAGGGCUCAACCGUAGUAAGCCUUUGAAACUGGGGAACUUGAGUGGAGGAGAGGAGUGUGGAAUGCGUAGUGUAGCGGUGAAAUGCGUAGAUAUUAGGAGGAACACCAGUUGCGAAGGCGGCUUUCUGGACUGUAACUGACACUGAGGCACGAAAGCGUGGGGAGCAAACAGGAUUAGAUACCCCUGUAGUC
rnacentral:rRNA from 1 species